rnacentral:tRNA from 1 species
CGGGCCGUAGCGCAGCUUGGUAGCGCGUCUGCCUUGGGCGCAGAAGGUCGCGAGUUCGAAUCUCGCCGGCCCGA